rnacentral:rRNA from 1 species
CGUUAUUCGGAUUCACUGGGCGUAAAGGGCACGUAGGCGGCUCGGCAAAUCGGUCGUGGAAUCUCGACGCUUACCGUCGAAACGGCGGCCGAAAAUACCGGGCUCGAGGGCGUGAGGGGUCACUGGAACUCCUGGUGAAGCGGUGAAAUGCGUAGAUAUCAGGAGGAACGCCGGAGGCGAAAGCGAGUGACUGGCGCGUUCCUGACGCUGAGGUGCGAAAGCUAGGGGAGCAAACAGG